UACGAAGGGGGCUAGCGUUGUUCGGAUUAACUGGGCGUAAAGCGCGCGUAGGCGGGUUUUUAAGUCAGGGGUGAAAUCCCAAGGCUCAACCUGGAAACUGCCAUUGAUACUAUUUAUCUUGAAUAUUGUUGAGGUAGGCGGAAUAUAUCAUGUAGCGGUGAAAUGCUUAGAUAUGAUAUAGAACACCGAUUGCGAAGGCAGCUUACUAAACAAUCAUUGACGCUGAGGCACGAAAGCGUGGGGAUCAAACAGG
rnacentral:rRNA from 1 species